rnacentral:rRNA from 1 species
GACGAACGCUGGCGGCGUGCUUAACACAUGCAAGUCGAACGGAAAGGCCCUGCUUUUGUGGGGUGCUCGAGUGGCGAACGGGUGAGUAACACGUGAGUAACCUGCCCUUGACUUUGGGAUAACUUCAGGAAACUGGGGCUAAUACCGGAUAGGAGCUCCUGCUGCAUGGUGGGGGUUGGAAAGUUUCGGCGGUUGGGGAUGGACUCGCGGCUUAUCAGCUUGUUGGUGGGGUAGUGGCUUACCAAGGCUUUGACGGGUAGCCGGCCUGAGAGGGUGACCGGCCACAUGGGGACUGGGAUACGGCCCAGACUCCUACGGGAGGCAGCAGUGGGGAAUAUUGCACAAUGGGCGGAAGCCUGAUGCAGCAACGCCGCGUGCGGGAUGACGGCCUUCGGGUUGUAAACCGCUUUCGCCUGUGACGAAGCGUGAGGGACGGUAAUGGGUAAAGAAGCACCGGCUAACUACGG